UGGUAGCCUCGGGGAGCCAGUCGUGCCACAUCCGAGGCCAGGGAAUCCGGUGGGAAUCCGGAGCUGACGCGCAGCGGUGAGGGGGACGGGCGGGGCACGACGCCACUGGGCGGAGUCCGUGACGGCCGCAGGGCCGCCGGGGACGAGGACCGGGAAGGCGCUCCGUCCGGACGAACCCGAGUCCGAAGACCUGCUGGCACCUCCGCGCCGCG
rnacentral:ncRNA from 2 species